rnacentral:tRNA from 1 species
UCCCUGGUGGCUCAGAUGGUAAAGCGUCUGCCUACAAUGCAAGAGACCCAGGUUCAAUCCCUGGAUUGGGAA